GCUGCGAUGUCGGAGUGGUUAACGAGUCAGACUUGAAAUCUGAUGCCUUCGGGCGCGCAGGGUGAGUGCCGAAAGUCAACGCUAUGUCUGCCUCGAUACUAAUAGAAUGCAGUUCGAAUCCUGUUCGCAGCG